GACGAACGCUGGCGGCGUGCUUAACACAUGCAAGUCGAACGGAAAGGCCCUGCUUUUGUGGGGUGCUCGAGUGGCGAACGGGUGAGUAACACGUGAGUAACCUGCCCUUGACUUUGGGAUAACUUCAGGAAACUGGGGCUAAUACCGGAUAGGAGCUCCUGCUGCAUGGUGGGGGUUGGAAAGUUUCGGCGGGUGGGGAUGGACUCGCGGCUUAUCAGCUUGUUGGUGGGGGAGGGGCUUACCAAGGCUUUGACGGGUAGCCGGCCUGAGAGGGUGACCGGCCACCAUGGGACUGCGAGACGGCCCAGACUCCUACGGGGGGCAGCAGUGGGGAAUAUGGCCCAGUGGGCGGAAGCCUGAUGCAGCAACGCCGCGGUCGUGAUGGCGGCUUUCGGGUUGUAAACCGCUUUCGCCUGUGACGAAGCGUUAGUGACGGUAAUGGGUAAAGAAGCACCGGCUAACUACGUG
rnacentral:rRNA from 1 species